AAUGUUAUAAACUCAUGAAAUAGAUAUUAUUUGUGUUUUACUGAGCAUAGAACUCACAUGACAUAUUUGAACUGUUUACUCAAAGCUGCUUCAAUUUUUCUAAUAUUACCAUUGAAAAUACAUGAUUUAAAGGGAAUAGAGUUUUAUUUAUUAUACUGCUUUGUGAAACAUUCAGUAUCUCUUUUGACAUAUGUUUUUAAAGUAAGUUUUCAUGCAGAACACUAAAAUAUCUAUUGGUAAUGCCUUUCCUCUUUAGGCUAAAAAACAAGCUGGUUUCCUAUUUACUUACAAUUAUCUCAUGCAAUACUUAUUCCUUUGUAAAUGUUGAGACUCUUAGCUUUAUCUGUUUGAACAAAACUAGUUUUUACAAAAGUCUUAGCCCAAAUGCUUAAAGAAAUGGUCAUGUUGGCAGGUAGGGAAAUUCAUUUCUGUAUUAAAUAGUACCAUGUGAGGAAUAUAUCACAAAAGGUUAACCACAAAAAAUAAGAGCAUAUUCGAAGUAAUAGUCUCCUUUGAUUAAAUUUCAACACUUUUGUUGGAAUGUAUAUACUAAUAACUUUAAGUAUAACUUCAACUUUUUUGUAUGGAUUUAAAAAACUUUAAAUAACUUUUUGUAUGGAUUUAAAAACUACUUCCUCACAUGGCCAUGGGCC
rnacentral:lncRNA from 1 species